UGCAGUUUGAAACACUUCAAGCAAAUAAUUUACAGAAACAAGGCCAUGACUUUAUUAUAAUCCAAGAUGCCUGGCAGAAACAAAUGCAUAUUUCUGGACUAACGUGCUUCUAACCCAGGCCUCAAGGACUCCACAUCUAUAAAUCCAAGGAACUUGAGCUCAAGGAAACAAAGCAUCGUGAAUAAAAGCAGGAACCAAGACUACUGGACCCAAAAGGCAGAGUCAGCUGUUCUCACACGGAUGAAAGCUACGACUGAAGAGAGAGGAAAUCAUGGAAAACUCACAGACUAGUCCACAAGUUUACAAAGGGAGAAGUUGAAGCUAAGAAUGCGACAGAGGCUAACCCUGGAUGACUUAAAUAGGAAGAGAAGAGUACUUGAAUUCAGAGCCCUGAUGGAAGACUGGAGAACAGGUUGAGACAAGUUCAGGAGCCAAGGGAGAGUGCGACAAGGUAAAAGCACGGAAUCCAACAACCAAACAGCCAGUGACCUUGAAGCCAUAGGCAGCAUAGGAAACCGCUCCUAUCUGUAUUCAUCGAUGAUGCCUAAACUUUAGGUCGGAGUCAUAUUUAAUUUGAAAAGAUUGGGAAGCUGAAGACCAUAUCUUCACGUGCAAAUCCCAGCCUUAGCUCUCUGGCCAAUAGAGGUAAAUACAAGUCACAUGCUUGACUGAAAUCAGCACUGAAGCACUGAAGUUGAGCUUUCUAAAAAGUUUCAUUAUUUAAUGUUUCUUUUUUCAAGCUUCCGUACUUAUGACUUUCUUGUUAUCCUUCAACA